UGGGGAAUUUUGGACAAUGGGCGCAAGCCUGAUCCAGCAAUGCCGCGUGCAGGAUGAAGGCCUUCGGGUUGUAAACUGCUUUUGUACGGAACGAAAAGCUUCUGGUUAAUACCUGGGAGUCAUGACGGUACCGUAAGAAUAAGCACCGGCUAACUACGUGCCAGCAGCCGCGGUAAUACGUAGGGUGCGAGCGUUAAUCGGAAUUACCGGGCGUAAAGCGUGCGCAGGCGGUUAUGUAAGACAGAGGUGAAAUCCCCGGGCUCAACCUGGGAACUGCCUUUGUGACUGCAUGGCUAGAGUGAGGCAGAGGAGGAUGGAAUUCCGCGUGUAGCAGUGAAAUGCGUAGAUAUGCGGAGGAACACCGAUGGCGAAGGCAAUCCCCUGGGCCUGCACUGACGCUCAUGCACGAAAGCGUGGGGAGCAAGCA
rnacentral:rRNA from 1 species